rnacentral:rRNA from 1 species
AUUGAACGCUGGCGGCAGGCCUAACACAUGCAAGUCGAGCGGAUGAAGGGAGCUUGCUCCUGGAUUCAGCGGCGGACGGGUGAGUAAUGCCUAGGAAUCUGCCUGGUAGUGGGGGAUAACGUCCGGAAACGGGCGCUAAUACCGCAUACGUCCUGAGGGAGAAAGUGGGGGAUCUUCGGACCUCACGCUAUCAGAUGAGCCUAGGUCGGAUUAGCUAGUUGGUGAGGUAAAGGCCUACCAAGGCAACGAUCCGUAACUGGUCUGAGAGGAUGAUCAGUCACACUGGAACUGAGACACGGUCCAGACUCCUACGGGAGGCAGCAGUGGGGAAUAUUGGACAAUGGGCGAAAGCCUGAUCCAGCCAUGCCGCGUGUGUGAAGAAGGUCUUCGGAUUGUAAAGCACUUUAAGUUGGGAGGAAGGGCAGUAAGUUAAUACCUUGCUGUUUUGACGUUACCAACAGAAUAAGCACCGGCUAACUUCGUG